CGAUUGGUCGAGGCUUGUUGUCAAUCUUACUAAAAGAAAAAAAAAUCCAGACAUAAACUCGGCGAGGCCCACGUGGCAGUCGUGCGUCCUUUUGAGGCGCGGUGGUUAAACGUUUUCUUGGCGGGGAAGGCAAGCUCUUCUCUCAAAGCGAUAUUUGCCGUUAGAUUUGUUGGAUGUGGAUGACGGUGACAGAGUCAAACUCGAAUUGUGGAUUAAAAAUUGGUUUGAAAAUCAUUUGAAUUUUAUUUCUGAAGGCUACAGGCCAGAGUAUAUAAGCUACAAAAAAGUAGAACCCAGUGUACUGCACAUGGAAGCUACUUUUGUUGUCGUUACUGUUGUGCACUUCCAGGUUGUUUCUGAUUCAUGAUGAUCCUAAGGCAAGCUUAUCAUGAGAUUUUCUUGGCAAGAUUUGUAGUUGUAUGAAAAAACCCCAAUCAUUUUGUCAAUAAAUCUUGAGAGGCUAAUUUCAUGCACAAUGAAGACACUUUACUUCUGGUGGAAGAAAUUAGGAAAGCCACAUGCUAUAGCAUUAAAGUUUUGAGGUGGUGUUGACAUCCAUGAGUGCCAUAACAGAAGCAAGAAUCAAACUUUAAAUAUAUAACAUAGUCCAAUGUCAUUGCCUGCGGAAGAUGUUAAUAGAGUGAAGUGUUUCUUCAGUGAAAGAGACUUUGCUAUCUGAUGAGGGUCGAGGCAGUACGGCAAUGAAUGAAGAACAAACAGAUAUAACAAAUGGCUGUAGCAAAGUUAGAACUGGUACUCAGAAUGAAGCUGCCUUAUUGGCUCUUAUGGAAAAGACAGGCUACAACAUGGUUCAAGAAAAUGGUCAACGAAAAUUUGGUGGACCUCCACCAGGUUGGGAAGGUCCACCACCACCACGAGGCUGUGAAGUUUUCGUGGGAAAAAUUCCCCGUGAUAUGUAUGAAGAUGAACUAGUUCCUGUUUUUGAGAGAGCUGGGAAGAUCUAUGAAUUCAGACUGAUGAUGGAAUUUAGUGGCGAGAAUCGUGGGUAUGCAUUUGUAAUGUAUACAACCAAAGAAGAAGCUCAGCUUGCUAUUCGGAUCCUUAAUAAUUAUGAGAUUCGUCCUGGAAAGUUUAUUGGUGUUUGUGUAAGUUUGGAUAACUGCAGACUAUUUAUUGGAGCUAUUCCAAAAGAAAAGAAAAAAGAGGAGAUCUUAGAUGAAAUGAAAAAAGUCACCGAAGGUGUAGUGGAUGUUAUUGUGUAUCCAAGUGCAACAGAUAAGACAAAGAAUCGUGGGUUUGCUUUUGUGGAAUAUGAGUCCCACAGAGCUGCAGCUAUGGCAAGGAGAAAACUCAUUCCUGGAACAUUCCAGUUAUGGGGCCAUACUAUUCAGGUAGAUUGGGCAGACCCAGAAAAAGAAGUUGAUGAAGAAACAAUGCAGAGAGUUAAAGUAUUAUAUGUUAGAAACUUGAUGAUCUCAACUACAGAAGAAACAAUUAAGGCUGAAUUUAACAAAUUUAAGCCAGGAGCUGUUGAGCGUGUGAAAAAACUUAGAGAUUAUGCUUUUGUUCACUUCUUCAAUCGAGAUGAUGCAGUUGCAGCUAUGUCAGUUAUGAAUGGAAAAUGCAUUGAUGGAGCUAGUAUUGAAGUAACACUGGCCAAACCAGUAAACAAAGAGAGUACUUGGAGACAACAUCUUAAUGGUCAAAUGAGUCCCAGUUCUGAAAAUCUUCUAGUCUUUGCAAACAAAGAAGACGGUCAUCAGAAGUCUCUCGCAAAGCCAGCAAAUCUUCCAAUUCGCCUGAAUGGACAGCAUAGCCCUAGUCCUCCUGAAAUUGAAAGGUGUACUUACCCAUUUUUCCCAGGAACAAAGCUUACUCCAGUUAGCAUAUACUCAUUAAAAUCUAGUCAUUUUAGUUCUGCAACAAUGCAGUUAGAUUAUUACUGUAAUAAAAAUAACUGGGCACCUCCAGAAUAUUAUUUGUAUUCAACGACAAGUCAAGAUGGAAAAAUACUAUUAAUGUAUAAGAUCGUUAUUCCUACUGUUGCAAAUGGAUCCCAGAGUUAUUUUAUGCCAGACAAACUUUGCACUACUGUAGAAGAUGCCAAAGAAUUAGCAGCACAGUUUGCAUUGCUACACAUGGAGUACAAUUUCCGCCGAAGUUCGAUAAAUAACAUCUCCCCUGUUAGUGCUACUCUUUCUUCUGGAACCACCAGUGUGCUGUCAUAUACAUCAAGACCAUACUCUUAUCCAAGCUAUCCCUUGUCACCAUCAAUUCCACUUGCUAGUAGCAACCAUGUUGGACAACGUCUGUAUAUACCCAAUCAGGCCUCCUUCUUUUAAGAAAAAAGAGUUGUAUGGAAAUAAUAUACCCUUAUUUUAAUAUUAUGCGGUUUCAGUUUUAAUUGGGUCCAUGCAAUUGGUUUUGGUGAGUUCAGUACAUGUAUAUAUAUGUAUUCAAAUUGCUUAUCAAUUCACUGAAUUUGUGGUGAAGAUAAAUGUGCUUUUCUCCUCAACAAGAAGAGAUUCCUAAAAUAUGGCACAGAAUUUUAUGUUUGUGGAACUAGAAAACAACCCAUUUAAGAUUUUUUAAAGGUAAUUACUUUCUUAAAUAGUAGCUUUAAAACAUUUAAAGUGCAUGCAAUUGUUGGUUCUAAUCUUGUUUCCAAGGAUCACCUCCUUUUUUUUUGGAGAUGAAAAACAUGUAGUCAAAAAGCAAAGUAUUAUGUAAGAAAGAAAUGAUGCAAGUGAAAGAUUUUUUAAUGCAAGCUUUAUUUAACUCCAAACAAAUAACUUCUAUACUACUGUGGUCCUAGUAAAUCACUUUGCAUAUUUUAGUUUCAUGAUAAAUAUUUGUUUUAUUCCUAGAAUAUAUUACUUUGUGUUAUUUAAUGCAUGUUAAAAUUGUUAAUCCCUUUUUGUUAAAAGGUACUGUUCUAUUUACAUGUUGUCAUGUUUUUAAAUGUUCGUAUCAUGUGUUUAAUUCUGUACUUGAAUAUAGACAUGUUGGCAUAUUCUUGCUCUAUAAAAUGAGUGACUUAUCUUCAGUACUAAAAAGAUGUGUUAAUAAAGUUAAGAUUGAAGUUUGUUAUCAUUGCUUCUUUUUCACUAACUCGUCAAAUUAGCCGAUUAAAGUAUGCAUAUUGCAAAACCGUUGCAUGAA